rnacentral:rRNA from 1 species
UUCGCAAUGCCCGAAAGGGUGACGAUGCGACGCCGCGUGAGCGAAGAAGGCCCUAGGGUUGUAAAGCUCUGUCGAGGGUUAUGAAAUAUAGAUGGGUUAAUACCCCAUUUAUUUGACAAAAGCCCAAAAGGAAGCCACGGCUAACUCUGUGCCAGCAGCCGCGGUAAUACAGAGGUGGCGAGCGUUGCUCGGUAUUAUUGGGCGUAAAGAGCACGUAGGUGGUUUUGUAAGUCAGGUGUGAAAGCCUUCUGUUCAAAGGAAGAACGGCAUCUGAAACUGCAGAUCUUGAGUGUAGGAGGGGAGAGUGGAACUUCUGGUGGAGCGGUGAAAUGCGUAGAUAUCAGAAGGAACGUCGGCGGCGAAAGCGACUCUCUGGCCUAUUACUGACACUGAGGUGCGAAAGUUAGGGGAGCAAACGGGAUUAGAUACCCCGGUAGUCCUAACCGUAAACGAUGGGCACUAAGUAGAGGGGUUUU